CGUCGGGAGCUAGGGACCUGGCCGGUAGAAGAGCGAGGUGCUCCUAGACCUGAGCGCCCAGACCGCACGGGUGAGUCCCGCAGGGCAGGUGCGGCGCGGUGGCAGGGUUCUCGCACUUGGCGGACCGAUGUGCCUGGGUGUCGGGGCGCGUGGACCUGGGUUCAGGUGAAGCUCUGGGAAGGGGCAAUACGGCGGCGACGAGAUGCAAGCGGAGGAGCCCUGCGCCCCCGGCGCUCCUGGUGCCCCCGGUGCCCAGAGAAGCCAGCGCGCACCCAGUCCCGAGCCGCGCCUGUCCAGCCAGCUGCUGCCCGAGCUCUACACCUUCGUGGCUCGAGUGCUGUUCUACCUGGCUCCCGUCUACCUAGCCGGCUACCUGGGGCUCAGCAUAACCUGGCUGUUGCUCGGCGCUCUGCUGUGGAUGUGGUGGCGCAGGAACCGCCGCGGGAAGCUUGGGCGCCUGGCGGCCGCCUUCAAAUUCCUGGACAACGAACGCCAGUUCAUUAGCCGCGAGCUGCGGGACCAGCACUUGCCGGCCUGGAUCCACUUCCCGGAUGUGGAGCGGGUUGAGUGGGCCAACAAGAUCAUCUCUCAGACCUGGCCCUACCUGAGCAUGAUCAUGGAAAACAAGUUCCGGGAGAAACUCGAGCCCAAGAUCCGGGAGAAGAGCAUCCGCCUGCGGACCUUCACCUUCACCAAGCUCUACUUUGGACAAAAGUGCCCCCGGGUCAGCGGGGUCAAGGCACACACGAACCAGCGCAACCGGAGACGCGUGGUCCUGGACCUGCAGAUCUGCUACAUUGGGGACUGUGAGAUCAGUGCGGAGCUGCAGAAGAUCCAGGCUGGCGUGAACGGCAUUCAGUUGCAGGGCACGCUGCGGGUUAUCCUGGAGCCCCUCCUGGUGGACAAGCCCUUUGUGGGAGCCGUGACCGUGUUCUUCCUUCAAAAGCCGCAUCUGCAGAUCAACUGGACAGGCCUGACCAACCUGUUGGAUGCACCCGGAAUCAAUGAGGUGUCAGACAGCCUGCUGGAGGACCUCAUUGCCGCCCACCUGGUGCUGCCCAACCGUGUGACUGUGCCUGUGAAGAAGGGGCUGGAUGUGACCAACCUGCUCUUCCCUCUGCCCUGUGGAGUGAUCAGAGUCCACUUGCUGGAGGCAGAGAAGCUGGCUCAGAAGGACAGCUUCCUAGGGAUCCGAGGCAAGUCAGACCCCUACGCCAAGGUGAGCAUUGGCCUACAGCAUUUCCGGAGUAGGACCAUCUACAAGAACCUGAACCCCACCUGGAAUGAGGUAUUUGAGUUUAUAGUGUAUGAAGUCCCUGGGCAGGACCUGGAGGUGGACCUGUACGAUGAGGAUCCUGACAGGGAUGACUUCCUGGGCAGCCUGCAGAUCUGCCUUGGGGAUGUCAUGACGAACAGAGUGGUGGAUGAGUGGUUUGUCCUGAAUGACACAACCAGCGGGCGGCUGCACCUGCGGCUGGAGUGGCUUUCACUGAUUGCCAACCCAGAAGCUCUGAUUGAGGACCAAGGUGGCCUUUCAACUGCCAUCCUCGUGGUCUUCUUGGAGAGUGCCUGCAACCUGCCGAGAAACCCUUUCGACUACCUGAAUGGUGAAUAUCGAGCCAAAAAACUCUCCAGGUUCACCAAGAAUAAAGUCAGCAGAGACCCUUCUUCCUAUGUCAAACUAUCUGUAGGCAAGAAGACACAUACGAGCAAGACUUGUCCCCACUGCAAGGACCCAGUGUGGAGCCAGGUGUUCUCCUUCUUCGUGUCCAGCGUGGCAGCUGAGGAGCUACAUGUGAAGGUGCUCGAUGAUGACCAAGAGUGUGCUCUGGGAGUGCUGGAGCUCCCGCUGUGCCGGAUUCUGCCCUACGCAGACCUCACCCUGGAGCAGUGCUUCCAGCUGGACCACUCGGGCCUGGACAGCCUCAUCUCCAUGAGGCUGGUGCUUCGGUUCCUGCGCGUGGAAGAACGAGAGAUGGGGAGCCCAUACACAGGACCUGAAGCCCUAAAGAAAGGUCCUCUGUUCAUUAAGAAGGUGGACACCAACCAGGAUCCCAAAGUCCCGUCCCAGGGAGAGUGCCCUGCAAAUUUCCCAUCCCCCCCCGAUCCUGCUUCUGAUACCAAAGAAACCUCCAAGAGCACCAUGACAACCACCAGUGCCACUAUUGUUGCCACCGAGCCCAUGCCCCACGAGACAGGCCCAGAGCCUAAAGGCAAGAACAGUGCCACAGGGUUCUGUGAGCCCUUGGGGAAGAAGAAGAGUUCGGCCACCAUCUUCCUGACUGUCCCAGGCCCCCACUCUCCAGGGCCCAUCAAGUCACCCAGACCCAUGAAAUGCCCUGCCUCCCCACUCGCAUGGCCGCCCAAGAGGCUGGCUCCCAGCAUGUCCUCGCUCAACUCCCUGGCCUCCUCCUGCUCUGACCUGACAGAUAUCAGCCUCAACAUUGAAGGCAGGAAUCUCAGGCAGUGGAGGCUGGGUGAGAUUCAGCUCACGGUGCGUUAUGUGUGUCUGCGGCGCUGCCUCAGUGUGCUCAUCAACGGCUGCAGAAACCUGACACCCUGUACCAGCAGUGGAGCUGAUCCCUAUGUCCGUGUCUACUUGCUACCAGAAAGGAGGUGGGCAAGUCGUAAGAAGACCUCAGUAAAACGGAAGACCCUGGAACCCCUGUUUGAUGAGACAAGUAAAGAAGAGGUCACUAGAUGUCGCCGUGAAAAACAGUAGGCCACUUGGCUCACACAGAAGGAAGGAGCUAGGAAAAGUACUGAUUGACUUAUCAAAAGAGGAUCUGAUUAAGGGCUUCUCACGAUGGUAUGAGCUGACUCCAGAUGGAAAGCCCAGAAGCUGAUGAGCGCCCUUACCACCUUGUAUUAAAAUGUGUACAUAUGUAUAUUUUGUAAUUUAAAUCAGAACAGCCAUUUGAAAAUAUAUACAUACAUUUUUGUGUGAAAUUUAAGUACAUGACUGGAUAAUAUUAGGAAGAGGUAAACGUAUAUAAAAGCAAGUACUGCUCUCUUGGUUGGAUUUAAUUGUUCAAAUCCAGAAAGAAAUGGGGUAUUCAUACCUAAUAAAUUAUCAGAACCUCAGUGACGAUUUUUUUUUUGUAGGUAAUUACAUACCUUAUAACUUGGGAUUUGCCCAAAUGUAUAUGUCAAAAGUGUCCUGUCUCAGACAUAAGGGGUAAAGGAGGUCUGUUCCUGGAGCAGCUACCAGUGUUCCUGCGAAGUGACUGACCAAGGCUUCUUUUAUGGAAAUAAAAAGCGAUACACACCAAAAGUGCCAAAAGCCACCACCACCUAAGCCCUUCUGCUACUUCUGCCACCUCUGGUACUUCGCUGCCCGGAAAUUUGUUCCUGUAUCUAGUGUAGAACUAAAAAUGUACCUUUCUGAUGGCAACAAUGUGGGAUGGCCUGGCCCCUAACUCCAGCAUGUAGCAUCAUUUCCAUAGGAAAAAGCAAACCAAACCCCAAGCCCAGGUCUACAUCUCCACUCCCACAGCAGAGCACUAGAGACUGCUCCAGAUUUUUAGCGCCAGAGGAAAAAGGAGCUUCUGCCUGUCUCUCAGAUGGUUUGGCAAUUCUAUUCCACUUUUUUAA